rnacentral:rRNA from 1 species
CAGCCGUAAACUAUGCGCGUUAGGUGUAUCGGUGACCACGAGUUACCGAGGUGCCGAAGGGAAACCGUGAAACGUGCCGCCUGGGAAGUACGGUCGCAAGGCUGAAACUUAAAGGAAUUGGCGGGGAGCACCACAACAGGUGGAGCCUGCGGUUUAAUUGGACUCAACGCCGGGAAGCUCACCGGAUAGGACAGCAGAAUGAUUGCCGGGCUGAAGACCCUGCAUGACUAGCUGAGAGGAGGUGCAUGGCGUAGACGUCU